AGGUGUCCUUCCUUCAGAUGAGAUUUCACAGCGAUAUCGUGUGGAAAUAUACGGUAUGAUCUCACAGCAGAGAAAUCGCAUCACUACUGAUGGAUGCCGAAUUCUGGAGGGCGUAGUGGAAUAUUUGUAAAAGGAUGUGCAAAUGGAACUCUACCUCGAGGAACUCUGGGA